rnacentral:rRNA from 1 species
AUUGAACGCUGGCGGCAUGCUUUACACAUGCAAGUCGAACGGCAGCGCGGGGCAACCUGGCGGCGAGUGGCGAACGGGUGAGUAAUAUAUCGGAACGUACCCAGAAGUGGGGGACAACGUAGCGAAAGUUACGCUAAUACCGCAUACGAUCUACGGAUGAAAGUGGGGGACCUUCGGGCCUCAUGCUUGUGGAGCGGCCGAUAGCUGAUUAGCUAGUUGGUAGGGUAAAGGCCGACCAAGGCGACGAUCAGUAGCUGGUCUGAGAGGACGAACAGCCACACUGGGACUGAAACACGGCCCAGACUCCUACGGGAGGCAGCAGUGGGGAAUUUUGGACAAUGGGCGCAAGCCUGAUCCAGCAAUGCCGCGUGAGUGAAGAAGGCCUUCGGGUUGUAAAGCUCUUUUGUCAGGGAAGAAACGGCGAUUUCUAAUAAAGAUUGCUAAUGACGGUACCUGAAGAAUAAGCACCGGCUAACUACGUGCCAGCAGCCGCGGUAA